rnacentral:rRNA from 1 species
GAUAAACGCUAGCGGCAGGCUUAACACAUGCAAGUCGAGGGGCAGCAUAGAUUGUAGCAAUACAAUUGGUGGCGACCGGCGCACGGGUGCGUAACGCGUAUGCAACCUGCCCGUCACAGGGGGAUAAUCCGGAGAAAUCUGGUCUAAUACCCCAUAACAUAUGGAUCGGCAUCGGUUCAUGUUGAAAUUUUCGGAGGUGACGGAUGGGCAUGCGUAGCAUUAGCUUGUUGGUGAGGUAACGGCUCACCAAGGCGACGAUGCUUAGGGGGACUGAGAGGUUUUCCCCCCACACUGGUACUGAGACACGGACCAGACUCCUACGGGAGGCAGCAGUGAGGAAUAUUGGUCAAUGGGCGCAAGCCUGAACCAGCCAUGCCGCGUGCAGGAUGGCGGCUCUAUGAGUUGUAAACUGCUUUUGUACGAGGGUAAAGUGGGUUACGUGUAACCUUUUGAAAGUAUCGUACGAAUAAGGAUCGGCUAACUCCGUGCCAGCAGCCGCAGUAA